rnacentral:rRNA from 1 species
AGUGAACGCUGGCGGUAGGCCUAACACAUGCAAGUCGAACGGCAGCACAGUAAGAGCUUGCUCUUACGGGUGGCGAGUGGCGGACGGGUGAGGAAUACAUCGGAAUCUACUUUUUCGUGGGGGAUAACGUAGGGAAACUUACGCUAAUACCGCAUACGCCCUACGGGUGAAAGCAGGGGAUCUUCGGACCUUGCGCGAUUGAAUGAGCCGAUGUCGGAUUAGCUAGUUGGCGGGGUAAAGGCCCACCAAGGCGACGAUCCGUAGCCGGUCUGAGAGGAUGAUCAGCCACACUGGAACUGAGACACGGUCCAGACUCCUACGGGAGGCAGCAGUGGGGAAUAUUGGACAAUGGGCGCAAGCCUGAUCCAGCCAUACCGCGUGGGUGAAGAAGGCCUUCGGGUUGUAAAGCCCUUUUGUUGGGAAAGAAAAGCAGCAGGUUAAUACCCCGCUGUUCUGACGGUACCCAAAGAAUAAGCACCGGCUAACUUCGUG